CUAAUUUUUUUCAAUAAAAUCAGAUUUAAUUGGCAUGUAAUCAGCCCCUUUAAGCAAGUACAUGGAGUGCCCCAUCUCACAUAGGGCAGGUAGAUGGGGUUCCAACAUUUGGCACCCUUUUAGGAUUUCCUGACAUAUGAGAGAGGGCGUGGCCCCUCUCUCUCUCUCCUCCAUGCUAAGCCAUAGGAGGGGGCGGGCCCCUCUUGCCAUAUCUAGGGGGUUGGCACUCCCUGGUCUUGCCAAAAAGAGAAGAAGGCACCACCCUUCUUUCAUUCUAUUCCACACACCACUUAGAGAUAAUUAGAAAAAAAUGUAGAGAUAAUGAGAA
rnacentral:lncRNA from 1 species